AUACUUACCUGGCACAGGAGACACCUUGAUCACAAAGGCCAUUUUCCCGGGGUGAGGCUCAUCCAUUGCAUUCUGGGUGGGCUGACCCCUAUGAUUUCCCCAAAUGUAGGAAACUUGAUUACAUUAUUUGAGGUAGUGGGGGACUGCAUUUGCACUUAAUUA